rnacentral:rRNA from 1 species
CACGUAGGGCGCAAGCGUUGUCCGGAAUUAUUGGGCGUAAAGAGCUUGUAGGCGGUUUGUCGCGUCUGCUGUGAAAAUCCGGGGCUCAACCCCGGACUUGCAGUGGGUACGGGCAGACUGGAGUGUGGUAGGGGAGACUGGAAUUCCUGGUGUAGCGGUGGAAUGCGCAGAUAUCAGGAGGAACACCGAUGGCGAAGGCAGGUCUCUGGGCCACUACUGACGCUGAGAAGCGAAAGCAUGGGGAGCGAACAGG